UAGAACAAUUAUGAGCCUUACACU
rnacentral:piRNA from 1 species